CAAGGUAGGCUAGAUGAUCGCGCUCGGUAUGCCGAGUGAGGAAAGUCCGGGCUCCGCAGGACAUGACGCCGGAUAACAUCCGGGAGCGGUAACGCUACAGAGAGUGCCACAGAAAAGAUACCGCCGCAUCCGCGGUAAGGGUGAAAUGGUGGGGUAAGAGCCCACCGCGAUGGUGGCAACAUCAUCGGCAGGGAAAACCUCGUCAGGAGCAAGACCAAGCAGCAAAUUGGGUUGUCCGCCCGACAUUUGCGGGUAGGUUGCAUGAGUGGUUUGGCAACAAACCACCUAGAUAGAUGAUCAUCUUCGACAGAACCCGGCUUAUUGCCUACCUUGUCUU
rnacentral:RNase_P_RNA from 1 species